UACAGAGGGUGCAAGCGUUAAUCGGAAUUACUGGGCGUAAAGCGCGCGUAGGCGGUUAUGUAAGUCAGAUGUGAAAGCCCCGGGCUUAACCUGGGAAUGGCAUUUGAGACUGCAUAGCUAGGGUGCGGAAGAGGGAAGCGGAAUUUCCGGUGUAGCGGUGAAAUGCGUAGAUAUCGGAAGGAACACCAGUGGCGAAAGCGGCUUCCUGGUCCAGCACCGACGUUCAGGCACGAAAGCGUGGGGAGCAAACAGG
rnacentral:rRNA from 1 species